GAGUUUGAUUCUGGCUCAGGAUGAACGCUGGCGGCGUGCUUAACACAUGCAAGUCGAACGGGCGAAUUAUAUCGGAGGUCUUCGGGCCGAAGAGAUAAUAAGCUAGUGGCGGACGGGUGCGUAACGUGUGGGUAAUCUGCCUUUGUCAUAGGAAUAACUGCUUGAAAAAGUAGCUAAUACCAAAUAACAUAUCGUAUAGGCAUCUAUAAGAUAUCAAAGAGAAAUCGGACAAAGAUGAGCCCGCAUCUGAUUAGCUGGUUGGUAGGGUAAAAGCCUACCAAGGCGACGAUCAGUAGCCGGCCUGAGAGGGUGAACGGCCACAUUGGAACUGAGACACGGUCCAAACUCCUACGGGAGGCAGCAGUGGGGAAUAUUGCACAAUGGGGGGAACCCUGAUGCAGCAACGCCGCGUGAGUGAAGAAGGCUUUCGAGUCGUAAAACUCUGUUGUAAGGGAAGAUAAGGACGGACCUAAAAGAAGCCCCGG
rnacentral:rRNA from 1 species